UACGUAGGGUGCGAGCGUUAAUCGGAAUUACUGGGCGUAAAGAGUGCGUAGGCGGUUCGUUAAGUCAGCUGUGAAAGCCCCGGGCUCAACCUGGGAACUGCGGUUGAAACUGGCGAACUAGAAUCUGGCAGAGGGGGGUGGAAUUCCACGUGUAGCAGUGAAAUGCGUAGAGAUGUGGAGGAACACCGAUAGCGAAGGCAGCCCCCUGGGCUGAGAUUGACGCUCAGGCACGAAAGCGUGGGGAGCAAACAGG
rnacentral:rRNA from 1 species